GAAGGUAUUAUGACAUUUUCGGUUUACUGCAGUGGAGUUUUUUUCUUUGGAAGAUUGGGAAUAAUAUUGAUUGUGUUAAAAAAUUGUAUUUGGCAACGUAAGGAGGAUAUAGUAAAAUCUGUUCAGUAAAAAUAUGGAAAUAUCCACAUAAAUCGUAUCCUAGAAUAAAUACAGAUUUUUAAAAGGCAGGUGAAUUCAACUUUCAUUUGCUGAAGAAUUCAAUGGUCCAGAAACUCAUCGGUGGAAUGGCAAGGCUUUGGAAGAGUGUUUUAUUUUGAAUACCGAAUCAUCGAAGCAUCUCAUCAUCACCGACGAACCGCAUCGCAACUUAUAACUUUGCGGGAAGGAAUUCUUUCGUCCUCCCCAGGCAACAACUAACCAACCAACCAACAACCUGCACUCUUCCAACUACUAUACUUCUUUCCAGAGGCUAAAAUUCUUCGAGAAAAAAAAGGAUGAAGAAGGAGAAGAAGCACUAAAAGAAGGCGAUGAAGAUGAAGAUGAAGAAGAAUUUUAUGUCACGGGUGACCAAACAUGAUCGACCAUGAUCCAUUCUAACAAACAAUAUAAUGAGAAACUGAUUCGGAAACUUCAAGUACAUCAUCAGGAUAGAAGAAGAAGAAAUCUCAGCAUCUCUACAGAAUAAAAUAAAAUAAAAUAAAAUGGUGGUUAAAAAAUGAGAGAAAGAGACGAUGAAAAAGUUAAGGAAGGAGAAAAAAAGGAGAUCACUAUAUGAUGCGUAUAUGCGUGCCUGAUGCACGCUGCACGCAAGUAUAAAUAUAUGAUGAUGAUGAUGCGAUGUAAAAAUUGAAGGAGACGUUCGUUCAUGUAUGAUCUUCGUAAACCUGAGCAGCAACCACCUCCGUCGUUCCCUGCUGCUGCGACGACGCAACUCCGGAUGAAAAAUCUGAAAACAGAAAGGAAAUGAAAAUCUUGUUAAAAUAUCUCUCCGUCCCAUUAUAGUAACUUGGAAUUGAUCAGAAUAUACGGAAUCUGUAGAACGAAAAACAGAAAAAAUACCGUCAAAAAAAUGAAGAAAAAAAUAACAGUUAAGAGACGAAUAAUGUCAAUGCUGCACAUACUUCAAAGAUUAUUCCCUUUGCAUAUUCUUUAUUGUUAUACUGACACACGAGGUUUGUAUAUAUAUCUAUGUAUAUCGAGGUAUAUGGUGGAUAUAUAUACAAUGUAUGGUAUCCGUAGGCAUCACGUAACUAUGUGAAAGGUGUGGCAUGACAUAUACCUAUGUGGGAUUCAGUAAAGCAAGAUCCAAAGCAAGUUUAGUUCUCAGGAACCUGAGACCUCGUGUGUUUUACACAUACACAUGUACCUAUGCGUAUAUACUUACACGUGCUUUUACAAUACUAAUGCAAAUAAAUUUAUAGUAGGUAAAUAACAAACACACCGUGUAACAUACAAUUUUCUCUCAAAAUCAGUCGCGUUUUUGCAAAUUUUUUUGUGAAAUCGAAGAAGAUAAGAUAAGAUGAUGCGUGAUUCGCGGAUGGUUUUUUUUUUUAAUUAAAAAAAUGUAUACGCGAAGCUAGAAGGGUGUGAACCAAGUUCUUUCAAAAAAUUUUCACGCGUAAUGCAAAUUUACUUUUUAACUUGAAUUAAUUCAAUUCAUUAAUCAAAAUGAAACUGGGAAAAGAAAGUGCGAUAGUUUCAUUGACAGCUGAGAUUCUAUGUUUUUUUCUGUUUUUACCGAUGGAUGAAUGAAACGUGAUAAUCUGUAAAUUCCUUAUAGUGAAGUUGUAAAAUGUAAUGAGAAUCUGAAAGACGCGAGUCGUCGGGCCCGCGCGGUCUUCACUUUGCGAACUUGACUCGACCACAUAAACUCGUUUAAGAAACAGUUUCAAAGGGUUUCUUUUUACUCCGCAUUAUAAUUUCUCGGUUGCAUGUGACAUAUAGAUAUAUAAAGUGUCAUCACGUUCCUCCGCAAGUACAAGUGAUAAAAAAAGAGCAGAGAAAGAAAGGAAAAUAUAUGCAUGUAUACCUUAUAUCGUACAUACAAUGCGGUCAAGAAUCAAUCGCGGUAUAAGUUAAACUGUAUUUAAUUACUUCCUGCCGCAGACGCUAAUACGGUGGCUUAAUAUUAUCGAAAGAAAGCAAAACAAAAGGUUUUUUUGAAAAUUAAUCUGCGUCAUUACGUACGUACAGACGUACGAUAAUUACCCUUACACAUAGGUACGUGACAGAUAAUUGUUUUGAGAAAUGAUCGUUUUGAAUUCAUUGGAAAAAAAAAGGAGAAGAGAAAAGGAAACAAAACUUUUUUGAAAAAAACGAAAAAGAGCAACGGAAACGCAUUAAAUAACUGUGCAUAUAUUAUACACACAAGAUAAGCUGUCUCCUAUCUUUCCAAGUUUGCCCACGUUAUUGUAUUAUACCAGAGCAAACAGCGAUUAUUCGUUUAUAAGACAAACUUAAAUUUGUUUCAUUUUUUACAAGUUUUCCGUUCACAAUAUUUUUACUAUAAACGAAAUGAAACGAAGAGUCAGAAUUUAAUUUUUCAUCAAUGAGAUGUUCAAUUGGCGAAUGCGAGUUUAAUUUUCUUUUCGGUUUCGUAUUAGAAAAAUUAUACAAGAACUGAGAGCGAAAAGCGUAAUAAAAAUUAUAGCACAAAUACCACGCGCAUUUAUCGUACCUCGUGGUUUAUCGUGUACGAAAAAUGAUGAAGGAAAUAUGAUACAGGAGAGAAGAAAGAAAAAGAAGAUUUAGAAAAAAAAAUUUAGGAAAUACGAAAAAAAAGAUAAAAGAGGAAAUUAAAAAAAUUAAAUAAAAUAAAAAACACAAAGGAAACCGGAUGAGCCGAUCCAAUGAGGCUCGACCGACCCUGCACGUUCAUAAAGUGCAUGCAAGUGCAGUGUUCAAUUCCUGGAGCAGCUAUGCAGCUUCAAGGACGAUCCAGAAAUUUUUUUUAAAAAUUGUCGCACAGAAAAAAGAAAGAAGAAGUUUAGCGAACUAUUGUAAACCAAUCGUAAGAUUAUGAGAAGUAAUAUCUGUGGUGGAAAGUUAAACUUCUUUUUCAUUUAAAUUCAAGUUUCCUUCCCAUAAUCUGAAUAAGUGUUUCAGUGGUGGAGCUAUUUUUCUAAAAAUAAUCGCCCCAUAUCCGGUGGUGCAGGCGUUAAAAAGAAGAAACGAAAAAAUGCAAAAGGAAAAAGAAAGAAAAAAAGAGAGAAAAUAGUAAUCACAAAGAAAGAACGAAAGAAGUUUGGAAGCAAUCUUCCUCGUACUCAAUCACCUUUUACUCUUUAAUCUUAAUUUUCUUUUCCUUUCUUUCUCGUUUUUAUUUUUUAUUUUUUGUUCUCCUUCAGAAUCUUUACCAUUAGGUAUACCUAUAUUGGUCUACACCACAAAAUUAGGUCCGAUUGAAAAAGCAAAUCGAGUGCAACCGGCGUCGACUUUACUCUCGAAUAGAUUUUUUUCAAGUGUUCAACUAACACAGAAUCGUAUAUUCUAUAAAUAAUCUACUAUAAGUAGGUAUAUAUGUAAAAUAUAAAUAUGUAAUCCUUAAAAUACUGCAGACGAGCGAAUAUAAAAAGAACAUGCGCGUUUGCUUGUGACCUCACGACUGCAGUCAAACUUUAAAGAAUUUUUUCUCUCCUAUGAAACUUCAUCGCGCAAAAUAAAAAAAAAACUAAUGACCAAAAAUAAACGAUAUUAAAAAAAUAAAAUAAAAAUCGAACAUAGGGUUAAUAUGUAGAAAAAUUAUACAUGCUUAACAACUGUCGCACAUAUCGAGUAAGUUUUCGUCAGCUGAACUCAAAAAUUUGAUACUUAUAUUUUACUUGCGUUUUAUAAAAGGUUUCACUUUUUUGUUGAUAACUUUUUUCUUCUUUACUUUACUUCGACUAUUGAUGUAAAACAAUAACGCGAGUUUACUGACACUGUAAUUAUUAUACUAUUUUAAACAACCGGUUUAUACCCUACAGUACAGUUCACAGUGUAUAGUCAGUUGCUCCGCAUAGUAUGUAAUAAACUACAUGUACCAUAGUUGUUGGUUUCUUGAUGUUCAUAAACUUGGAACACCGAGUCAAAUAAUAGUGAGAAGCAAGCAUCGUGUAACUACGUACCGUAACAGCACACAUUUCUAUCUAGAUACAGCUGAAUCGGUUUAAAAUUUAUUAUCUCAGAAGGAUUUUAUUUUUACAGCAACGAGGUAAAAAUAAAAGAAUAAAAAAAAAUUAAAUAAAAUACAUAUACCAUCAACCGUUAUACGUCUAAUUAUCAUCGCGUUUAACCUGAUUUUUUUCUCUCUCUCCAUUUUAUCAAUCAUUUCACACUCUAUAUACAUAAGUUACAUACCAACUAUACACCUUUUCCAAUAAACUUAGAAAAAAAAAAUGCAAAUAAAUUAUUUUUUAUAUGCCUACACAAACUUUUUUAUUUAUGUGUAAGAAUUGAAGGAAUCUAUACCUACACAUUAUGUAUAAUAUCGACAGCCAUCUGUUAGACUUUUUUAUUUGUGGCUAAAAAAUGUUACCGAGGAACACUUUAAUUCCUACCCAUUGAAAUAUUUCACCAAAUGAUAUGUUAUUUUAUGUAAAGCUGUUGAAAAUUCAUGCAUAAAUUUUGUUCGUAUCUAUAUACCAUAAGGGUUUCCAUGUGUAGGCAUAUACAAUUAUUUAUUUACACCUGGUCUCUCAAAUGCUCACGUGUUCCAAUAUUCUGAAUUCUCUUUUUCCU
rnacentral:lncRNA from 1 species